rnacentral:lncRNA from 1 species
CACCAAACCUCACGGGAAAAAUGCUCCACGACCCUCAGACUUAAACAGCAGCACUGGCUCCUCCCCAGAUCUCCAGCUCCCUGACCCUCAAACUCCAACUCCAACACCAGCUCUGCCCCAGGUCUCCAGCUCCACAAUCCUCAAACUACAACAGCAGCACCAGCUCCCCUGGGGAUCUCCAGCUCAAUGACUCUCAGACUUGGGAGGCAGCUCCAGCUCCCACCAAGCCUCCAGCUCCACAACCUUCAAACUAGAACAGCAGCACCAGCUACUCCCUGGGUCUCCAGCUCCCUCAAAAUUCAACUAUAGCACUGGCUGUUCCCCAGCGCCACCAGCUCCACAACCCUCAACUUACACGGUGGUAGCACCAGCUCCUCCCUAGGUCUCCAGCUACACGACCGUCAAACUUGAACUGCAACACCAGCUCCUCUUCGGCCUCCAGCUCCACAAUCCUCCAACAACAACAGCAACACCGGCUCCUCCCUGAAUCUCCAGCUCAACAACCCUCAGACUUGAGAGGCAGCACCGGCACCUCCCCAAGGCUCCAGCUCCAUGACCCUCAGAUUUGAACAGCGGUAGCACCAGCUCCUGUCCAGGUCUCCAGCUUCAUGAUCCUUAAACUAGAACAGCAGCACCACCACCUCCCUAGGUUUCCAGCUCCACGACCCUAAGACAUGAAUGGCAGGACCGGGUUCCCCGCUAGG